rnacentral:misc_RNA from 1 species
GAUGAAGAACGCAGCGAAAUGCGAUAAGUAAUGCGAAUUGCAGAAUUUCCGUGAGUCAUCGAAUCUUUGAACGCACAUUGCGCCCACUGGUAUUCCGGUGGGCAUGCCUGUUCGAGCGUCAUUAUCCUCCCUCAAACCCCGGGUUUGGUGUUGGACCCAAGUUGUGUGAACAACUGGUCUCAAAGACAAUGACGGCGUCCGUGGGACCCUCGGUGCAACGAGCUUUUAGGAGCACGCAUCGAGUUGCAAGGACCUUCCGGGCCGGUCUCCUUUACCAUUUUACAAGGUUGGCCUCGGAUCAGGUAGGAAUACCCGCUGAACUUAAGCAUAUCAAUAAGCGGAGGA